UCCACCGAGGAUACAUGACUUGUUUGUUUGUGGUUGGCUGUGGCUUUGACUUUCCCCACCAUGCUGUUUGCCUCGGUUAAUGACCAGCCGGAAAUGCCCUGCCUCCUGUUUGGCUGAUGAAAACACUGACCUUUCCAGGAAUGACUCCAAACCAGGCAUCUGUGGACAACUUCCCUCAUCCCUUUCAUUGCUCGCCACCACGCUGCAUUCCCCAAAAAGGAAGUAGCUAUUUUAAGCAAGGGAAAAUGAGAUGGUGAGACUUUCCCCAAAAGUAGGCUUGUGCCUGAUGCAGGGUGGAGGAGCUCCAUGCCCUGUGGAAGGAAGACACAGAGUCAUCCAUAGACGUUACCCGUGGGUCCAGUCCAUCCAUCGGUGACUUAUGGGCAAAAGGGAAGGAAGGGAAGGAAGAAGAUUGAUGAACAGCGUUCUUUGCUAUUAGGCAGAACUGGCCCAAUGGGUGGCACAGAGGGGCGGAGACCAACUCCACAAAAAAAAUUACUUCUGCAAGUAGUGAGCGUCCUGUCGCAGAGGUUAUGCGAGCAGAGACAGGAUGAGGGGACUGUUUCUAUUUACACUCUGCUAGGAGGAGUAGAAGUGGACCCUGACCUUGAGGAGCCUAAAAUUUUUCUGCAGAGGCAAGUGGCACCUGAUGCGGCAAGUGAAUAUCAAGGCCUGCCUUGCCUCACAGGGCAGCUGGGGACCAACCCAAACAAAUCCAGCAUGCGGAGGAAGCAGAGACCUGAGGAUGGGCUGAAGCCUGUGUGCAGGACUUUCUAUCACUUGCAGAGUCCUGGCUGCUACACUGAGGAGCACUGAGUCUCACUGACAGAGUUUGUCAGCCUUGCAUCCCAUCUGCUCCCUGUCGGUCCUGUGGAGAUGCUGGUCAACCUACCCCCUGGCUUUGGGGGCAUGUGACCCAUGUCUGCUCAACUGUGGUGCCCCAUUUCCCUGCCUACAGUUGUUGGUCCAAGAGGAGGCUCUCUCUUACUCUGAAAUCAUGAGCUGAGGGUUUACCGUGUGUGCCUGAAGCUAUCAGACAAUGAAGAAAGAAGACAGAGAAAGAGAGAGAUUUGAGUACCUGGGUCCAGCUAUGACUGAAGCUAGCAAGAUACCCAUCUUUGUUCUCUGAAGUUAUGUAAGAAAGUAAACUCCCUAUUUGGAAUUUUCCUUGUUUACUUGUGCUUAAGUUAACUUGAGCUGGAAUUUCAUCAUCACAAUUAAAAACAUCCUAACAACUUA